AACUUUCAGCAACGGAUCUCUAGGUUCCUGCAUCGAUGAAGAACGCAGUGAAGUGCGAAAAGUAAUGCGAUUUGCAUGCUCUGUGAGUCAUCGAAUCUUUGAACGCAUAUGGCACCUCUUGGUUCCUACUAAGAGGUAUGCCUGUUUGAGAAUCAUUUAUCCCUUUUGAUCCACUGGAUCACACAUCCACUUUGGUUGUUGAUCCCCAGUUGGUCAAGACAUGGACCUUCAUCACUGAUCGUCUUGAAUUCAGGCACGGGUUGUUCGUGAGAGUGGAAGCCAAUUCUAUUGAUCGACCAAUCCGCUCAUAUAUACCCCAGUGAUCUCAAAUCAGGCAAGACUACCCGCUGAACUUAAGCAUAUCAAUAAGCGGAGGCU
rnacentral:misc_RNA from 1 species